rnacentral:rRNA from 1 species
UACGGGGGGGGCAAGCGUUGUUCGGAAUUACUGGGCGUAAAGGGCUCGUAGGCGGCCAACUAAGUCAGACGUGAAAUCCCUCGGCUUAACCGGGGAACUGCGUCUGAUACUGGAUGGCUUGGGGUUGGGAGAGGGAUGCGGAAUUCCAGGUGUAGCGGUGAAAUGCGAAGAUAUCUGGAGGAACACCGGUGGCGAAGGCGGCAUCCUGGACCAAUUCUGACGCUGAGUGAGCGAAAGCCAGGGGAGCAAACGGG